rnacentral:rRNA from 1 species
ACGACCAUAUCUACCAGAAAAUACGGGAUCCCGUCCGCUCUCCCAGAGUCAAGCUGGUAAGGGGCGGAUUAGUAGUUGGGUCGGUGACGACCAGCGAAUCCCCGCUGUUGUAUGUU